CCACCGCCCAGGACUCCGCAUUCGUCUUCCGUGUCGGCUCCGAGUGGUGGAAGAAACACUAGCAAAUGUUUCUGCUACAAAGGCUUUGGGGCCCGCUGCUUCAUGGACCUUGUCGUCUUCUCCUCGGAGCGCCCAGCACGAGGUCGGCCGAGGGAAGUUACUCAGUGAGUAAGUGUGAUUCGUGUAGCUGUUCAAAAGGGUGUGACAGCCUGGGAGUAGAGAACAAAAUAGAAAUACUGUCCGUGUCCGUCUUCCUUGUCUUUUAUCUCGCUUGCUUUCGGUGGGCUGUAGAAUCCAGCAGCUUUUUCAGAGUAUUCCAAAGUUGAGGUAUCAUUAUGCCUCAUAUUGUCAUGAUCUAAAACAAAUCCCCUUAGA
rnacentral:lncRNA from 1 species